rnacentral:rRNA from 1 species
UACAGAGGUGGCAAGCGUUGUUCGGAAUUACUGGGCGUAAAGGGCGCGUAGGCGGCCUUCUCAGUCAGACGUGAAAUCCCCGGGCUUAACUCGGGAACUGCGUCUGAUACUGGAAGGCUUGAGUUCGGGAGAGGGAUGUGGAAUUCCAGGUGUAGCGGUGAAAUGCGUAGAUAUCUGGAGGAACACCGGUGGCGAAGGCGGCAUCCUGGACCGAAACUGACGCUGAGGCGCGAAAGCGUGGGGAGCAAACAGG